rnacentral:lncRNA from 1 species
GGGGUCCUUCGGCGUGCUUCGGCUUUGCUGCAGGGCCGUCGGAGCUUCGCGGUGGUGGCUUGGCGAAUUAGGCGGCGGUUCUCCGGCGAUUGCUCGCCGAAGUUGGGCGGCGGCGGCGGCGGUUUGGGCGCAGGGAGGGAGAGAGCGUGGGCGCGGGCGGGUGCGGGCGAGAGCGUGCGAGAGAGGGGUGCGGGGGCGCUUUAUAGGGCUCGGGGGCGCAUGGGCGAGGUGGCCGGCGAUUUCGCGCGGGGUGGAGGUCGUGGCGCCGGCGGAGUUGAGCCGGAGGUAGGGGAUGACAGGUGGGGCCCGCCUGUAGGUGAAAGAGAAGAGAGAGAACAGAGGAAGAAAGAAGGUCGGUCGUUGGAUCUGAGAUGGACAGCUAGGAUUAGAAGAUACCCCUUCAGGGUUUUAAGUGAAAGCGUAUUUCGCUGAGAAUACGCUUUCCUGUGGGGAAAGCGUAUUUUCAGAGAAAAAGGAAAAGAAUAAAAGAAAAAUACUUUUCAGGAUCUAUAAUUCACCCGAAAAUCCAUUUAAAUCAUUUAAAAUAUCAAAUGGUUCCAAAAAAUGCCCAAAAAUUCUGUAAAAUAAUAUAUUUCAUCUAGAGUCCAGGAAAAUUAUUCCCACUCAAAAAUAAAAUAAUAAAAAUAGUUUUAAUGCCUUUAAGCUUCAAAUAAAUCCAAAUAAAAUCCUAGAAUGCAUUUUUAAAUUCUAGAAAAUUGUCAAAUAAAUUUCUACCAACCUAACACAUUCCAAAACACCAUUUCAAACACUUUCAAUAAAGCAUCAUAAUGAAACUCCAAAAUUUUAAGAUAUGAUCAAGGUGAUAUGCAUGAGAAAUGAAAAGGUGUGAACAUCCGAAAUUGAAAAUUUGGGAUGUUACACGUACCCGGGC